GGGUUGUGAGGUUAAGCGACUAAGCGUACACGGUGGAUGCCCUGGCAGUCAGAGGCGAUGAAGGACGUGCUAAUCUGCGAUAAGCGCCGGUAAGGUGAUAUGAACCGUUAUAACCGGCGAUUUCCGAAUGGGGAAACCCAGUGUGAUUCGUCACACUAUCAUUAACUGAAUCCAUAGGUUAAUGAGGCGAACCGGGGGAACUGAAACAUCUAAGUACCCCGAGGAAAAGAAAUCAACCGAGAUUCCCCCAGUAGCGGCGAGCGAACGGGGAGGAGCCCAGAGCCUGAAUCAGCAUAUGUGUUAGUG
rnacentral:rRNA from 1 species